GGGUUCCAUGCUUGUUCUAGGUAUAAGGCAAUUAUACCGUGAAACUGCGAAUGGCUCAUUAAAUCAGUUAUCGUUUAUUUGAUAGUACCUUACUACUUGGAUAACCCGUGGUAAUUCUAGAGCUAAUACAUGCUGAAAACCCCAACUUCGGGAGGGGUGUAUUUAUUAGAUAAAAAACCAACGCCCUUCGGGGCUUCUUGGUGAUUCAUGAUAACUUAACGGAUCGCAUGGCCUUGCGCCGGCGACGGUUCAUUCAAAUUUCUGCCCUAUCAACUUUCGAUGGUAAGGUAUUGGCUUACCAUGGUUUCAACGGGUAACGGGGAAUUAGGGUUCGAUUCCGGAGAGGGAGCCUGAGAAACGGCUACCACAUCCAAGGAAGGCAGCAGGCGCGCAAAUUACCCAAUCCCGACACGGGGAGGUAGUGACAAUAAAUACUGAUACAGGGCUCUUUUGGGUCUUGUAAUUGGAAUGAGUACAAUUUAAACCUCUUAACGAGGAACAAUUGGAGGGCAAGUCUGGUGCCAGCAGCCGCGGUAAUUCCAGCUCCAAUAGCGUAUAUUAAAGUUGUUGCAGUUAAAAAGCUCGUAGUUGAACCUUGGGUCUGGCUGGCAGGUCCGCCUCACCGCGUGUACUUGUCCGGCCGGGCCUUCCUUCUGGAGAACCUCAUGCCCUUCACUGGGCGUGUUGGGGACCAGGACUUUUACUUUGAAAAAAUUAGAGUGUUCAAAGCAGGCCUUUGCUCGAAUACGUUAGCAUGGAAUAAUAAAAUAGGACGUGCGGUCCUAUUUUGUUGGUUUCUAGGACCGCCGUAAUGAUUAAUAGGGACAGUCGGGGGCAUCAGUAUUCAAUUGUCAGAGGUGAAAUUCUUGGAUUUAUUGAAGACUAACUACUGCGAAAGCAUUUGCCAAGGAUGUUUUCAUUAAUCAGUGAACGAAAGUUAGGGGAUCGAAGACGAUCAGAUACCGUCGUAGUCUUAACCGUAAACUAUGCCGACUAGGGAUCGGGCGAUGUUCUUUUUUCUGACUCGCUCGGCACCUUACGAGAAAUCAAAGUUUUUGGGU
rnacentral:rRNA from 15 species